AUACAUUUCUCGGCCUUUUGGCUAAGAUCAGGUGUAGCAUCUGUUAUAAUCGGUUUAAUAACUUGACAGUUUUGAGUUAUAGAGGAAAACUUAUGGUGGAUGAAAAUCGAGUGACUGAUGUUCCAAGAAUGUCGAGAAUCGUGUGAAAUAUACUUUCACCACAU
rnacentral:snRNA from 1 species